rnacentral:tRNA from 1 species
GCCCCCGUAGCUCAGCGGAUAGAGCAGGUGUCUUCUAAACGCCUGGCCGCAGGUUCGAGUCCUGCCGGGGCGCC